CUGUGUAAGCGGAUAAGCUCGACGACGACGGCUCCUUCGGCUCAUUUCGGAGACGGCCAUUACUGACGGAGUUGAUGACUUUUUAUUACGUGAUAAAAACACGUAGGGGCGUUAUACAGAACUGCUGCCCCUUUGGAGAUAUUUAAGCUCCAGAUUCAAGCUUUUUUUUUUUUUUUUUUAAACGAAAACCUCGGAAGCGAGCCUGGGCUGGAGAAGGAGGGCGCUAGCACUACGUGGAGCUGAAUUUCAAAUUACGUAACAGUUAAGGCAGCCAUUACUGAUCAGUUGUACGGUACUCUCAAGCAGGAAUACGUAAACCAUGAAGAAUAUGAGGGAAAAGGAGCAGUUCCGCAAACUCUUUAUUGGCGGCUUAAGCUUUGAAACAACAGAGGAAAGCUUGAGGAGUUACUACGAGCAAUGGGGAAAGCUUACAGACUGUGUGGUAAUGAGGGAUCCAGCAAGCAAAAGAUCGAGGGGGUUUGGUUUUGUAACAUUCUCCUCCAUGGCUGAAGUUGAUGCAGCAAUGGCUGCAAGACCUCACACGAUUGAUGGAAGGGUGGUUGAGCCUAAGAGAGCUGUGGCUAGAGAGGAAUCUGGAAAACCUGGUGCUCAUGUUACUGUGAAAAAACUAUUUGUUGGUGGUAUUAAAGAGGACACUGAAGAGCACCACCUUCGUGACUACUUUGAGGAAUAUGGAAAAAUCGACACUAUUGAAAUCAUUACUGACAGACAGUCUGGUAAAAAGAGAGGGUUUGGAUUUGUUACAUUUGAUGACCAUGAUCCUGUGGAUAAAAUUGUAUUGCAGAAGUAUCACACCAUCAAUGGCCAUAAUGCAGAAGUAAGGAAAGCUCUCUCUAGACAGGAAAUGCAGGAAGUUCAAAAUUCUAGAAGUGGGAGAGGAGGGAACUUUGGUUUUGGUGAUGCACGUGGAGGUGGUGGCAACUUUGGUCCAGGACCUGGCAGCAAUUUCAGAGGGGGAGCCGGUAAGACAGAUGGAUAUGGAAGUGGCCGCGGAUUUGGUGAUGGGUAUAACGGAUAUGGUGGAGGACCUGGAGGUGGCAACUUUGGUGGCAGUCCUGGUUACGGAGGAGGAAGAGGAGGAUAUGGUGGAGGAGGACCUGGAUAUGGCAACCAGGGUGGGGGCUAUGGAGGUGGUUAUGACAACUAUGGAGGAGGCAAUUAUGGAAGUGGGAACUAUAAUGAUUUUGGAAACUACAACCAACAACCUUCAAAUUAUGGUCCAAUGAAGAGUGGAAAUUUUGGUGGCAGCAGGAACAUGGGGGGACCAUAUGGUGGAGGAAACUAUGGUCCAGGGGGCAGUGGAGGAAGUGGUGGAUAUGGAGGGAGGAGCCGUUAUUGAGUUUCUGCAAGCAUGCCAUGGCUAUGAUAUGAACCCUGGACAAGCAUAGACUGCUGCCACUGUACACUGCUACAGUUGAACAAAUGAGACCUGCAAGUGUCCAUUAGUAAAGCUUUGCAAGGGUUCCAUCCCUGGUGUUGGUAGUUAAAAUGGAAGGUGCCAUGCUGCAGGUAACUAAUGAAGAAGUGGUCAACCACAGAAACGCUUCAAGAAAUAAGAAAUUCUGUAUCAUCAGAAAAUAGUUGUUUUUGCUGCCUUCAUUAAAAACCUAGAGGUUAAAUGAACACUGAUAAAACAUCACAAUUAGUACAGCUCCCUGUAAUGCUGGGUUUUUUAAAUUAUAGUAAUAAUGUCUUGUAAACCUUUCGAAUAAAACUCAGAUUCGUUAGGAGAAACAAAUCACUAAUGUUAAAAUAGCAAGCAUUCUGUGAGUAGAAAGUUUAACUACAUAUUUUUAUAACUUUCAUAGCUUUAAAAUAAAGUAUUUUUUAUACCAAAGUAGUUCUAGUGUAAUGCUUAAUAAAACUUAGUGUGUGUCUAACAUUAAAUAAUGUUUAUGUGCAGCUUUUAGACCCUUUCAUGAUUUGAAAUACUCCAUUUUGAGGUGGAUUUAAAACAAAGUCAACUUGGCAAGUGUAUUCACAGAACUUGUAUCUCUGACCACAGGCAUCUGUUCUCUGUUGGGAGAAACAGUGCUGCAAAUUAAAAAUGCUGAUCUUUUUGCUGUUGGACACAAUUGCUUUAAAAUAGCUUUUUGGCUGUGUUUUAUAUCGCUUUAUAAAAAUACCUCCUCCUUUCCUGUUAAUGAAACUAACCACUUAAGACAGUUUGUCAAAAUGUGAUAGGACAAUAGCUUUAUCCUUUUCACCUGUAAAGAGCUUUUAGCAUCAAGAGAGAGAGACUGAAUGGAAUGUAGAGUUCCUGCUGUACCAGAACUGUGUUACUGAUAGCUGCAUCUUCUGGGGGGAAAAACCAACAAACAAACAAACAAACCCAAAACAAAACCCAAAACAAAACUCAACAAACAAGCGUGAGCUUGGGAAAGCUUCAGUUGGGAAUGUAUUUGAGGGAAGGUAUCUUCAGUCUAUACUGUUUUAACCUGUUACCUACAUAUGCGAUUUAUUCUGAACUUGAAAUUUAUAUGCUUAGCUUUGGCAGAAUCAUACUGUCUUUAACCUUCUUUAUAGAAUUCAAAAAUACUAUUCAAGGGUUCACAUACGAUUUUUUUUUCUGUGUUCCUUAAGUUGUACUUUGAAAUACUUGUAUAGGUAACCAGUGGGCUGCAACGGAAGCAGAAAAUGAAGACGCACAAAAUCUGCUUUACUUUCUUCUUUCCAACAGAAUCAGUUGACCAGUUGCUAAGGAAUUUGCCUUCUUUCCUGGAACCUAGAUUUAGUUAAUGGAAGUUUUUUCUUUACAGUUGCCAAGUCCACAUUCAUGUAACGUUAAAAAAACCCCAACCCCCCCCAAAAAACAAAGGGGGGGGUAACUCUCUCUUUCUGUUUGAGAUCUUUACGCUCUUACAGUACCUCUGCAACAAGGUUUAAAAUUCACUUGAAUUAAGUAAGUUACAUUUUCCAUAAUGAGGAUGUUUUAAUUUCGAUCUACUGGCGAUGGGGGAAGGGAGCAUAUAGGGGACAGCAGUAUGCAAAAACUAAGUUAUUAGAUAUUUAAAGUCUUGAAAGCCUGGAGUAUUUGAGUAAGUUUCCUGUUGUCUUACUGUUGAACUUUUAUGACUUUUCGUUCUUGGUUAUGUUCUUAAGAAUUAAAGCAAGUGACAAUCACAAUGUUUACUGACGAAUUCAAGUAAGAGAAGUCACCAUUUUGAGCCAACCGGAUACUGAAAGCUAGGAACUUUGAAUAAAAACAACAGUGUGUGGUC